AUGGCCGGAGGGUUCGUCGCGCGUUCUUCCUGUAAAGGACGUGAGGAAAGUCCGGGCAACGCAGAGCGCCAUAUUUCCUAACGGGAAGCUAUCGGCAACGGUAGAGUAAUGUGACAGAAAAUUACCGCCUCCACUUGUGGAGGUAAGGGUGAAAAGGUGAGGUAAGAGCUCACCGGGCGCAAUGGCAACAUUGCGUGCCGCACAUCUUAUGGGUUGCAAGGUCAAGUAUACCGGCAUCUAAGGGCUGCUCGUCCACUGCCGGGGGGUAGACUGCUCAAGGCUUUUCGGAGCCAGAUAAAUGACGGACGGCAUGGCGCAACUCCCUUCGGGAAAGUACGCAGGCCACAUAACCCGGCUUAUACUCCGACCAUGCCC
rnacentral:RNase_P_RNA from 1 species